rnacentral:rRNA from 1 species
AGUGAACGCUGGCGGCAGGCCUAACACAUGCAAGUCGAACGGCAGCACAGUAAGAGCUUGCUCUUACGGGUGGCGAGUGGCGGACGGGUGAGGAAUACAUCGCAAUCUACUUUUUCUUGGGGGAUAACGUAGGGAAACUUACGCUAAUACCGCAUAUGACCUACGGGUGAAAUCAGGGGAUCUUCGGACCUUUCGCGAUUGUAUUAGCCGAUGUCGGAUUAGCUAGUUGGCUGGGUAAAGGCCCACCAAGGCGACGAUCCGUAGCUGAUCUGAGAGGAUGAUCAGCCACACUGGAACUGAGACACGGUCCAGACUCCUACGGGAGGCAGCAGUGGGGAAUAUUGGACAAUGGGCGAAAGCCUGAUCCAGCAAUGCCGCGUGAGUGAAGAAGGCCUUCGGAUUGUAAAGCCCUUUUGUUGGGAAAGAAAAGCAGCAGGUUAAUACCUGGCUGUUUUGACGGUACCCAAAGAAUAAGCAACGGCUAACUUCGUG